CCAAAGUUCUUCCAAGAUUCUAACUACACACUUCUACAUCAAGUUAUCAGCUCGCCACCCAGUUUGUGACGCACUGUUAUGGCAACCCUGGGAGAAACUAAUACGCUUCCCUGAAGGCAACUUUAUUCUAUAUCAGGAGUCUCAGCCAACUCAGAAGGACAGAGAGAAAAUUAUGAGGAUGGGAUCGCUGAAACCCUACCCAGAUGGAAUCCUGGGAAAACUGUCAGAAGGGGCCAGUUUGUGA
rnacentral:lncRNA from 1 species